rnacentral:rRNA from 1 species
UACGAAGGGGGCUAGCGUUGCUCGGAAUUACUGGGCGUAAAGCGCACGUAGGCGGUCUUUUAAGUCGGGGGUGAAAUCCUGGAGCUCAACUCCAGAACUGCCUUCGAUACUGGAAGACUUGAGUCCGGGAGAGGUGAGUGGAACUGCGAGUGUAGAGGUGAAAUUCGUAGAUAUUCGCAAGAACACCGGUGGCGAAGGCGGCCUGCUGGGCUAUGGCUGACACUGAGGCGCGACAGCGUGGGGAGCAAACAGGG